CAUUUAGUGUCCGAGUCAGGUAUAAAUCUUUUAAAUUUAUUAUAGUUAAUACUCUAAAUGA
rnacentral:tRNA from 1 species